UGCGUAGGUGGCAAGCGUUGUCCGGAAUUAUUGGGCGUAAAGCGCGCGCAGGCGGCCUCUUAAGUCUGAUGUGAAAGCCCCCGGCUCAACCGGGGAGGGCCAUUGGAAACUGGGAGGCUUGAGUAUAGGAGAGAAGAGUGGAAUUCCACGUGUAGCGGUGAAAUGCGUAGAGAUGUGGAGGAACACCAGUGGCGAAGGCGACUCUUUGGCCUAUAACUGACGCUGAGGCGCGAAAGCGUGGGGAGCAAACAGG
rnacentral:rRNA from 1 species